rnacentral:tRNA from 1 species
CGGAACGUGGCCCAGCUUGGUUACGGCGCCGCCUUCGGGAGGCGGAGAUCGCAGGUUCGAAUCCUGCCGUUCCGA